GCUUUAUGCCCAGAGAACUUUUUGGAAGCAAUUAAUAUAUGCGUGGUCUAUGGGUGUCGCGGCGAGAAUAUAUAAUUGUGGUUUAGAUCGAAGGCUUUCAAAAAUGAUGUGCAAUAAAUACAUGCAGGCAUGAAUGCUCGAACCCCUCUAACUCCGCGAAGACCGUCUCUGAUCUACGUUCGUUUCGUUAAUUUAGUUCUCGUGCUUUCAAAACAUGUAUAUCCAUUACCCUCCAGCUGUAGCAACUGCUCGUUCUUUUCGUCAGCUGGUUUAUGGUCCAAGAGGUCGGAUAAUAUUGGCCUGACAAUGAGGUGGGUGGCAAUCUAAAUUCUUGUACUCUUUUAGAGCGAUUAAUCACAUCAUCCUAUCUUAUGAGAUGAUGGCGAACAUUUACGUAUACAUACAUACGUACAUUACAUUUGAAUGCAGGAAUAUAUAUAUAUAUAUAUCCUAUCCAAAAGUAUCUGUAUACGAGAGAUACGUGAAACUUCCAGAUCAACAUCAUCUCGCCUUGCACGCUGCAGUAGCCGGUUAUAAUUUCAAAGCCAAAGGCCAAAGAUAGAUACAACUAACGCACUCGCGAUAAGCUUUGUAUACCAAAGUAAUUAUUGGCGCUGUAAUAACACCGAAUGAAUUUUUUAUUAUUAUUUUCAUUAUGUUUGCGCACUAAUAAUUAUCUACCAAUCACAUCCUCCUAAAUGUUUGAUCAGUGUACCUACGUUCUUCUCUCGAGUACCAUUACCUUCUCAAUGUUAGUUGAGACAAUGACGACCUCAUCUUUGAACAUUGGGAUCGACUAGGAGAAGCUAAAUUACGGCGAUGACAGACGUUGAACGAUUCCAAAGAUACCCCGCUCGAUGAAGGCGAUGACGUCAACCGUGACUUAUCGUUGAAUCCGAAGAGUCUGGGGUGCAGGCAUUCUUUGGCCUGUUCGAUGGCCGGACCUAACGCCACAUGUUAAUUUUUUUCUCAGGGUGCUACAAAGAGUUUUGUAAAUCUGCUAUUCCCACCGUGCGAGAACGGAAUACGAGACAGUGCGCCACUUGCAUAUUCACUUGCUUCUACGCGAGUGAAAAGGUACCUUCGGGAUCAGAUACAAAAUGGCGAACCAUAUAUCCUUCUUACAUCUUGGGACAACUAUACAUAUACGUGUCCCAGCAUUUACACCGCAGUAUAUCUAGUCGCCUGCUGUCAGGCGCCAUGCUUACGCUAUAUUCGUAAAGUCGAACCAAACUAAGGGCGGUAUUCAUAAUCCGGACUUAAGACCGUGGUCAAAUAAUAAUCUUUGUCAAGUGGAGCUUGACCUGCUCUUAAGCAAAUCAAAGCAAAUGCCAUAAUUGAUACACCCUAGCGCCAUCUGAAAACCCCAAGUAAGACCGUUUUAUUCGAACACCACCCCAGGUAACCACCCCGAUACACCCUAGCGCCAUCUAAGAACCCCAAGUAAGACCGUCUUAUGUGAUCACGGUCUUAAGACCGGACUAUGAAUACCGCCCUAAGUCCAAUCUCCAGUAAAAUGAGCUUGGUCCGUGAAUGAACCUGGCGCUAUAGGAACGGUGGCCCCUGACGACAGACGAGCAGACAUACUGCGGUAUAAACGCUGGGACACAGGGUAUGCAGACCGGAUCCGUUCAUUGUAGCGGCCCAGAGAAAUUUCUGAUAAAGGCAACUCACGGCCCGAGUACACUGUUCCCUCAUUUAUUUCAUGUUCUUUGGACACCAAUUCCGAAUUAUCGUAGGCUUGACCGUCUUUUCGUUCCAAGUGUACUUUUAUCAGGAGUUGCUCAGAUCAGUCUUAUGAAUAAUGAGGCAUUCAUGAGGCUUAUAAUAAAUGAAAUGUGUCCAUUAUUUUUAUAAUAUUAUUAUUAUUUCACAUCAUAUGAGAAGUAUGAUAUAGGUAUGUAAACUUUAGUUCACGUGGCACAGAUAAUUCUGAUCUGAAGAUACUAUAACUGAAUUGAUCCAACGGACUUUGGUUACUAUUUAUCCCUGAGCCUAGACCUUUUUUCCCUUUUCAUCUAUUAUAGAUACGUUUCACCGCUGCACUUUGUCCAUAUCUUUUAUUAUUGUUAUCUGUUAUAGCUUAAACACGUCACAUUAAU